rnacentral:lncRNA from 1 species
AUGUUUUAUUAACUUUAUUUAACAAUAACUUCUCUCAUAUAUCUUUCAUUCAACAUAUAAAAAUAACAACUUUAGAAUAUGUACACAUCACAAUAGUUUUAUGUUUAUCUACAUUCCGAUAACAGUAUUAUGUGGCUUGUUUUCUAAAUAUCGAUAACAAUUUGAUGUUAUUUGUUAUUUGUUAUCUAUAGAAUGAUAACAGUAUAGCGUUAAUUGUGUGUUAAAUAUAGAUAACAAUACAACGUUAUCAUAAAUGUAUUUUGUUAUUUGUUAUCUAAAGAUCGAUUCAAUUUAAUGUCAUUUGUAUUCUAGGGACCAAUUACAGUAUCAUGUUGUUUUUAGAAUGAUAACAAUUGCUUAUGCUAUAAAUACCGAUAACAAUAACAGAACAACGUUGCGUGUUAUCUACAUAUCGAUAAUAGAAUACAAAUAAGAGUCAUUUGUAAUUUUAAAACCAAUAGCAGUGAAACAUUCAUUGUAAUAUAAAAAUCGAGAAUAGUAUGAUUUUAUUUGUAAUCAAAAGAUCGAUAGCAGAACAAUGGUAAUUGUAAUAUACACCAAUAUAGUAUAGCGUUACUUGUGUCUAAAUCAAAAUAGUCAAUUUUAAAUCAUAUAUUUCAUAAAAUGUAUUUUUAUCCCUUAUAUACCAUGUUUACAAUUUUGUUUUCACUCACUAACAAAUGUUAUUUACAACAUGAUGCCUUCUUUGACGUUUUGUAAUAAAAUGUAACUUAAAUAAUUUGAAACGUGAUGACACAACCGUUAACAAGCUUGUUAUUAUUUACUUAGAAACUACACGAAGGCCUCGAGAUCGGGACAUAUUGAAAGAUGUUUUGAAACCUCUGAUCACAACAUAUAUCAAUAAAAUUUCAAUAGAAAAAAAUAUCAAAUUCAAUAAAAAUCACAUAACAAAUAUCAUAAAAAAUCUAUUUGUUAUAUGUUAUAAAAUAAAAAUAAACACAAAAAAAUGUCGUGCGUCCAACGCGCUUUUCUUUUUUUUACAUUCAGCUAGAAUGUUCAUCCAAAUUCAUUCAAAAGCAAAUAAAGUUUAAGAUACAUGAAGUGCUAAAUGAACAAGAGGGUUAUAAAAUAGCAAAAUUCAUCUUAUUCAACUUUGCCUACAUGGUCAUCUUAACCUGUUCAAACGAAAACGAAAACUUAAAAUAGUGGUUUUUUUUCCAAAAGCACGUAGCCAAACAAAAAUUUCGACCAGCGAAAAUUAUUAUUUAUGCAAAACACUGUUAUCGGCCUGUAGAUAUACAUGUCAGAAAUUGUCUAAAAUAGUUUUAGAAAUCCCUUCUUUGUUUGAUAUCCCAAAUGUAAAAAAUCAUCCAAUGUUUUUUUUUUUGUAAGACAACUAUUACACGUGACAUAGUAAGUUGUUCAUUGGUGAACAAAAUACUAGGUGUUUACCUUAAUUCUGCCUAAUUAGUAGGAACAGCCGCCCUUUUUUAAUAGACAAAACAAAUACAUAAAAAAAUCCUUCAAGUUAGUUUAAAUUGUUCAAAUUUAACUAGAAAUUUGACGCGGUUGUUAAAAAAACAUCCCCAGAUUUAUUUCUGCGACACCGGUACGAUCCAUACAAAAGUUUCCUAUGUAUGAAUGGACAACAGACACGAUGUUGAAAGGAAGAAAACAGAUAGGAAUAUUCAUAAAACUUACAAAGUUUGAAUACACACAUACACAUAUUUGAAGGUUUGAGGUCUGAUUAAGGGGUUUUCCUUUCUAUAUUCGUUUUUCUCUAUUCUGGAUUUUUCCUAUUUUGAAAACACAAUUUAAACCUUCACAAUACAUCCUUGUUGGUCAUGUAUAUAUAACACAUCCAAAUCAUUCAAACAAAAUAUAUGUAGUGUCAUAAUGUUUUAUUUUGGAACAUUUGCCAAUACUUCAUGCGUUUGGGGACAAACAAUUCCCGAACUAUUUAAUAGAUACCAAUUAAAGUUUUAAAAAAAUCCGAAAACCCAUAAAAUCAUUUUUAAAAAGGGGAUAUUUAAAUUUAACGACAAGAGCACAUAUCUUUUUUUUUUAAUAUAUGCAUGUUCUUUUCAAUUCCACAAAAAUAAAAAUAUUUUUUUUGUUAAUCUUUUUUUGUAAUUAACAGCGUGUUAUUUAACUCUGUUUCAGCAUACAAAUAAAAAAAAAAAACUUCAGAGUUUAAGUGAAAUGCAACUAACAGAAUAUUUUAUUUUGGACUCAUAUUUAAUCCUUUGUGUAUACUAUACUAUCUUCUUUAAUACAGGAGGUAACUUUCAAAUGAUUACAGAGUAAAGCGACAAAAUAAAAGACAAAUACGCUUAACUGUAGAAAUAAUACAGCCCAGAGUCAUUUGAAGCUAAUAUUGCUCAACAUUACCCGUCUUAUUUCGAAAUCAUUUAUACAUAUAUUCUGUAUGUAACAAAUUAGGCAAUAUAAUUAAUAUAAUAUUAAAGAUAACAUUUACUUUUUUUUAUCUGUAAACAGGUGUAUUGCAGUACAUGAUAAAACGUACGAAAAAUUAUAAUCGUUGAAAAAUAAUUGAAAAAACAAAUUUAUAAAUUUCACGCGUUCGAAGCGCCUUUCUUGAUUGUGAACGCCCACACCAAAACAUUCGAAAAUCAUGGAUGCGUUACAACACAUCAACGGUAUGCAUCCAGUAAGGACCCAAAAGAAUAACCGACUUUAUCUCGGAUCAUUUUUGCCUGACAGAGUUGAAACCUUAGUUUUCGAAUAAUUUCUUAAUCUAUAAACAGGGCAUUUAAAUAGGUAUAUAAAAUCGAGCCAAGCAAAAAGGCCAUUACAUGCAUUAUACAUAGUAUGCAUAUGGAACUGCAAAUACACUUGAAGACGAUGACACUUCCAGUCUUUGUAAUUUUGGCGUUCUUAUAAUAUAACGAAUUUUCUUCAAAGCAUGUGAGAAUAGCCAUCCCUCUAUGCUGAUUUAGCGUAAAGUGACUUUAACUGAACUCGAUAUUUGCAGAGUAAAAUCUACGCUAUAAUGAUAUAUAAUAAUGAACACUUUUCGAGUUUUCUGUAGUUCCGUUAACUUUUUGGAUUGAAUUGACGUCAUUUUAAUUCGACUCGUACACAUUUCGUUACCGUCUCAAUUGGAGUGAAACAAACUUGAAUUUUGUUUGAAUUUUGUUUCACACAGCAUAUAUACCUAAUUAAAUAUGAUUAUAUAAUGAUCAUGGACGUUUAAUUCAAACAAGCCAUUUUAGGUAACAACAAAUUCGAAUGACGUCAUAAAGCGCACAUUAAAUGAGCAACAGAAACUCGAAAACGGCCUUCUGCUCGGAUAAAAACAUUGUUUAAACAAAACAUAAUAAAUAAAAUCAAUCACGGAAAGAUCUGCUAUUUCCGUGUCUUCAGUUUAUUUGUGUUGUCACAAUAUUUUUGUCCAUGUUAUGAGCUGCCGAAGGCCAACAUAAAUAUCCAAUGUUUGAACGAAAUUUACUUCAGAUACUGUAGGCAGUACUCGAUAAUCAAAAAUGAAAUGCUUGAAACAAGCUUGUUAAAAAUUAACCCAACAUAUUUUGACAGCAGCUUACAUCUUCAAGUGUUUUAAGUCUUCCUCCGGUUUCAAUUCUUCUGCCUUGCUGUCAUCUAAAAAUGAAAAGCAUUUUUUAAUAUCAUUAUCAAAUCAUUAUUUUGGCUAAACGUGACGUCAUACAAAUGAAAACUUACAAACUGGAGAUUAUUACGUUACCUGUACGAUUCAAAUUCGGAUAAAAUUACAUUUAAACGGCGAAUUCGAGGUAGGUGUU